AGCUCCCUCAUGGGCGGCGGCGCCGGCAGCCGCCCCCAUGGCCCAGGCACGGCAGGAGGAGCGGCCGCGGCUGCAACCCGGAAGAAAAGGGAGCAGGGCUGGGACACGCAGCCGCCUUUCCUCCUCCUCCUCCUCGCCCUCCGCGGCCGCGCAGCCGGGCGGGAUCCAGCGGCAGCGCGGGCGGAGCUGCCUCCCCCUUAGGAGGGGCCUUCUCCCCAUGCGGGACGUUCAGCGUCCCGACAGUUUUUUGAGUUCACAUCAAUCAAGACAUCACUUUCUUUCAAAUUUUUCCAGAACCAGGAAGAAAGAGAAGAGAAAGGUAUAAUGGUGUUAUUUAAUCCUGGUUUGAGCAAUGCCAAGAAUCUAUAUUUAAGAGAGACAGAUCAGAUCUGUCUCUAUUAAUCAUUCACAGAGACUGAAAGCAGAGCAUAUAAACCAUGAAAUCCACUCUCAAUAACUUAAAAUUCUUAGUGUUGUAAAUUUUACUUGCUUUAAAAAUCCCAAGAGAUACUCAGCAGAAUUGUGUUAAUUUAGGUUACAAUAUUAAUCUCUUCUUGUUGUAUAUAAUUGCAUAUAAUAUAAUGCUUUCUUUCCUUUUUCUUAAAAAAGACUUGGUGAGCCAAAAGCAGACAGUGAGAGGGAACCAAAGUUUUCCACUUCAAAGGAUGUGUAAAUCUCCACUGGUGAUUCUGAUGUAAUGGUUAGGAAUUUUAUAUCAACCCCUGGGUUUUGACAAAAAAUUGGUAACAUGAUGUCUCUCAUAUGGGAGUUUAUAUUUUUGUGCAGUAUUAGCGAGGGAGGAGUGCGGAGAGUAAGCAAGAGCACGAGGAAGAAAAAUAAAACCAAAGAAACAAGUUAGCAUAAAUAUAUUCCUUAUGAUAUUUUUAUAACCCUUUCAAACAUGGGCCAUUGCUGCCAAUAAGCAGCUCUAUCAAGAGAACCCCAGUGUGCAAAUUUCUUAAUGUAAUAUUGUGAGGUAUUUCAGUCCUGGCCUGUAUGUCUCCUGCUCUUCUUCCUCUCUGGUGCAGGACUGCACAGUGACACCUGGCCAUCUCCACUAACAGUGAGUUCCACUUGAGGACCAAGCUUGCAAUUUAGGUAUUCAGAGGCAAAGAAGCUAGUUGAUAAGCUGGCUGGGACAUAAUAAAGGCAGUAAUUUAUUAUGUUCACUAAGUUAUCUCUCUGAUUUAUAUAGCCAAAAGUCUUGAGUUACACUGCAGAAAAUGCUGGUACCCGAGACACAGAAUCCUGUUUGGAGUUUGAAAAUCCAAUUCAAAACAUAGAGGAGGUUGAUCUGAAUAGUGGUUAAAUGGACAUGUUCAGUAACUGAACUGGAUUAUGUAAAAGCACUUGGGAAGGAGCUGAACACUGGUUUUGGAAAGAGAAAAUUGCAGCAGUUGAGCUACCCUUUGGGUCUCAGGAGAGCUGAGCUUUAUCCUCUGCCUGACUUGCUAGGGUCAUUUCCUCUAUUUAUGGCAGAUUUGAUAUUCCUGAAAGCACCAUGCAGCAUCAGCACUGUGUACAGGCAGGGGCAUGAAGAAACCAGUUACAUAUUUUGAAACAAUUUUCUAGUUGAUUAGACAAGAAAUUAAAGUGUUCUGCAGCUAUGAUUUGGUUUCUGCAGAACCCUCUGUUUUUAUAAUUAGCUGGUUGCUGUUGUGUAUCCUAAGGUUCUGGUGGCUGAAAUUCCCAUGUUGAGAGCCUGUCCUCUGAUCUCUUGUCCCACUGCAGCAAAAAUCUGGUCACUGAAUAGUGAUGUGUAGAGUUUAAUUACAGAAAUACUGACAAAAGGCAGUGCUCAUUUGUCAAAUGUACUCACAAUUGUAAGAAGAGCCUUGCACUGGAGAAUCAAAAGACGCAUAAAAAAUACUGAUUGAGCUGGCUUCAUCCACUUAUGGAGGGGUAUUUUUUGUUUUGGAGGUGAUGAGGAGAUUGUUUUGUGCAAGGCUUUGCUGUGGUUCUCCAGCAAAGGUAGGAGCUGAAAGGCCAGAUCUCCAGAUUUCCAGCCACCUGCCCCAGCCCCAGAGAUGCUUUUCAAAACUGCAGCUUGCUUCUACAAAUAUGCAACACUCUUCCUUAAUUUCACUUCUGCAUUUGGUUAUGCAGGUGCGCAUGUGAGGCAUAACUUUGGACAAGACUGUGUGUGCAGGCAUGCUGCACAUGCUGCAGAAACACUACAGCAGCAUUGUUUGUUAUGGCCACAGCCUGGCCACGUUUCAGUAAAUGGCAAAAGUCCCGUUGGCAAUCUGGCCAGAGUUUCAGUUAUAAAUCCCAAAUUAACAUUUGUGGAUGAUGAUAUUAUGGCUGGUCAGAGGCGCGCUACGAUUUCAGAGAUGUUGAU